rnacentral:rRNA from 1 species
AUACGUAGGUCCCGAACGUUGCGCGAAAUUACUGGGCGUAAAGGGUCCGUAGGCGGUCUGGUAAGUGGAAGGUGAAAGCCUGGGGCUCAACUCCAGAAUUGCCUUCCAAACUGCCGGACUUGAGGCAGGGAGAGGUCGGCGGAAUUCCCGGUGUAGCGGUGAAAUGCGUAGAUAUCGAGAGGAACACCAGUGGCGAAGGCGGCCGACUGGAACUGUCCUGACGCUGAGGGACGAAAGCCAGGUGAGCGAACCGGAUUAGAUACCCUAGUAGUCC